rnacentral:rRNA from 1 species
UACGGGGGGGGCAAGCGUUGUUCGGAAUUACUGGGCGUAAAGGGCUUGUAGGUGGCCAACUAAGUCAGACGUGAAAUCCCUCGGCUUAACCGGGGAACUGCGUCUGAUACUGGAUGGCUGGAGUGUGGGAGAGGGAUGCGGAAUUCCAGGUGUAGCGGUGAAAUGCGUUGAUAUCGAUAGGAACGCCGGUGGCGAAGGCGGCAUACUGGAUCACUUCUGACGCUGAGGCGCGAAAGCCAGGGGAGCAAACGGG